rnacentral:rRNA from 1 species
CAGUAGCCGCGGGAAUACGAAGGGGGCUAGCGUUGUUCGGAAUUACUGGGCGUAAAGGGUGCGUAGGCGGUUGUUUAAGUCUGUUGUGAAAUCCCCGGGCUCAACCUGGGAAUGGCAAUGGAAACUGGACGGCUAGAGUGUGUCAGAGGAUGGUGGAAUUCCCGGUGCAGCGGUGAAAUGCGUAGAGAUCUGGAGGAAUACCGUGGCGAAGGCGGCCCCCUGGACAAAGACUGACGCUCAGGUGCGAAAGCGUGGGGAGCAAACAGGAUUAGAUACCCCCGUAGUCCCUGUCUCUUAUACA